ACUGAGAUUUAUUAGGAAAAUGGCCCAAGGACACCUUGACCAGCACAUCUGAAGAUGCACUCUGACUUAAAUGCAACUGUCUUGUGCACCUCUCUGUUCAGUCUGUGCUAAAAAUGGGUUACAAUUCCUGAAACUGCUCCCUUGAGGCUCCCUCGCGAUGAGUGUUCUCGCUGGCACAGUCCCUCCGGACCUCUUCAUGUUUGGACCAAGUCUCGUCUCCAAGUAAUUUUUUCAUCCUCUGCGCCACCCUGAUCAUACACAGUGACAUCCUCUCAGCAUAGUUAUAAAAGCAGAACAGAAUGCAAAAAGUAGCCAUUUAAGGAUUGAAGAACAAAGAAUAGCAGGAGGACUGGGGAGAUAAUCAGCAUUCAGUGUUCCACCAACCAACAGAGUUUGUCCUUUUUUCCUCAACUCCAGCGUGCCUGCCCUUGCCCGGACUCGGGUGGCGGGGAUGUGGAGAGGACUGGAAGUGAGCAUGCCGCACGGUGCUCCGGGAGCAGCAGGAAAUACAACUUUGUGGGAGUGCAGGCACAGCAGUGUUGGGAACGUCCCAGCCUCUCGGUAGAAGCACCAAAAAAGGACAUUCCCCAGGGAACUGGCAGCACUGAAGAAAAUCAACUCCAGAAAGCUUUGGCAGGGAUGUGACCCUAACCAGGACAGUACUGAGGCAGCACGCUGCACUAAGGGGUUCAGCUCAGUGUCAAACACAACCAGAUCUGAACAGCACUGCAAAGGCUCAAGAGCACUCAACGCAGAAACCACAACCCACAAAAGCCUUUAGUCUUGCAGCCUAAACCCAAGUGGAUCAACUGCCUUCUAAAGGGAAAAGUAUCAACAUACUCCACAGACACUGAACAGUAAAGCCUCAGAACAGAAUCAGAAAAAUGUCUGAUAUUAAGUCCAAAAAUACAUGGGAUAUGAAGAACCAAGAAAAUCUGGAUUUCCAUGGAGAGGGGCAAGCAACAGAUGCAUGCACAGAGAAGACACAGAUGAGGGAAUUAUCUGAUAAAGAUCUUAAAGCAGCUAUCAGAAAAAUUCCCCACCAAGCUAUGGCAGAUAUCUGGAAAUGAACAGAAAGAACAUGUCAGCAAAAGGGCUGGGGACACAGCUCGCUGGUAGAGUGCUUGCCUGGAAUGCAUGAUGAAGGUCUGGCUUUAACCCCCAGUACCGCAAAGGGAAGGGAAGAGGAAGAAUGGGAAGGGGAAGGGAAAGGAAACUGAUUUCAAUCCAUAAACCUGAAAGAAGUACAGACUUCCCCAAAUGUUUGGAAACUAGCAGGUCUUGGCUAUACUUCAUAAGCUGUGUCUUGAAUCUCAAAUAGCAAGAAAAAAAAAAA